rnacentral:rRNA from 1 species
AACGAACGCUGGCGGCAUGCCUAACACAUGCAAGUCGAACGAAGCCUUCGGGCUUAGUGGCGCACGGGUGCGUAACACGUGGGAAUCUGCCCUUCGGUUCGGAAUAACAGUUAGAAAUGACUGCUAAUACCGGAUGAUGACGUAAGUCCAAAGAUUUAUCGCCGAAGGAUGAGCCCGCGUAGGAUUAGGUAGUUGGUAGGGUAAUGGCCUACCAAGCCGACGAUCCUUAGCUGGUCUGAGAGGAUGAUCAGCCACACUGGGACUGAGACACGGCCCAGACUCCUACGGGGAGGCAGCAGGUGGGGAAUAUUGGACAAUGGGCGAAAGCCUGAUCCAGCAAUGCCGCGUGAGUGAUGAAGGCCUUAGGGUUGUAAGCUCUUUCAGCCGGGAAGAAACGCAGUGGGUUAAUACCCUGUGUGGAUGACGGUA